rnacentral:rRNA from 1 species
CAGCCCUAAACGAUGCGCGUUAGGUGUAUCGGUGACCACGAGUCACCGAGGUGCCGAAGGGAAACCGUGAAACGUGCCGCCUGGGAAGUACGGUCGCAAGGCUGAAACUUAAAGGAAUUGGCGGGGGAGCACAACAACGGGUGGAGCUUGCGGUUUAAUUGGAUUCAACGCCGGAAAUCUUACCGGGACCGACAGCAACAUGAAGGCCAAGCUGAAGACUUUGCCGGAUUAGCUGAGAGGAGGUGCAUGGCGUCAGUGACU